rnacentral:tRNA from 2 species
GCCUUGCUAGCUCAAUCGGUAGAGCGUGUGACUCUUAAUACCAGCAAUGGAUGAAAGUCAUCACAAGGUUGUGGGUUCGACCCCCACGUAGGGCU